UACGGGGGGAGCAAGCGUUGUUCGGAUUUACUGGGCGUAAAGGGCGCGUAGGCGGCGUGACAAGUCACUUGUGAAAUCUCCGGGCUUAACCCGGAAAGGUCAGCCGAUACUGCGGGGCUAGAGUACAGAAGGGGCAACUGGAAUUCUCGGUGUAGCGGUGAAAUGCGCAGAUAUCAGGAGGAACACCGAUGGCGAAGGCAGGUCUCUGGGCAUUAACUGACGCUGAGGAGCGAAAGCAUGGGGAGCGAACAGG
rnacentral:rRNA from 1 species